rnacentral:rRNA from 1 species
UACGAAGGGGGCUAGCGUUGUUCGGAAUUACUGGGCGUAAAGCGUGCGUAGGCGGUUAUGUAAGUCGGGUGUGAAAGCCCCGGGCUCAACCUGGGAAUUGCAUUCGAGACUGCAUAGCUAGGGUGCGGAAGAGGGAAGCGGAAUUUCCGGUGUAGCGGUGAAAUGUGUAGAUAUCGGAAGGAACACCAGUGGCGAAAGCGGCUUCCUGGUCCAGCACCGACGUUCAGGCACGAAAGCGUGGGGAGCAAACAGG